GCUGCCCAGGUGGCUCGGCAUGUGCGGGCUUUAAAUUUGAUUCAAUCACUGAAAAAUCUGGAUGUGGCUUUAACAGCGCUAAAUAUUGAGAAAAAUUUUUUUUGUAUUGUGUGUUUUUGAUUUACUACACGACUUAUUUAUAGCAAAACCGGGUUCACAGAGAUAUUAAAAAAACUAACAUACUAUUCUAGAUACAUAUUGCUUCUUCUCGAAUAGAAUAUCCGUAGAAGCUCUGCGAUAUAAAAAUCGAUAAAUGAAAACUAAUGAGAAACCAGUUUGUUGACGAUGUGUAACAAGUUCAGUGUCUUACACACACACAUACUAUUUACAUAUUAUAAAAUUGGGUUUUUAAUCUUAAUUACUGUUUAAAGCAGGGAAUUCGUACAUAUUUUUCACCCGUUUUAAUAAUAAUAAAUUUCUUCAAAACAACUUCAAAAAACGGUCUUCCGAAGCUAUAACACCAUUCACAAAUACAAAAUUUGAGUGACAAGAACUUGCUUCCAAUCGUUCAGCUUGCGGAGCAGCUGUAUGCUAUAGUUAUCCAAUCUGCGACAUCGCUUCGCUAUAUGGACUUUUGAAAAGUUCCAAGAAGAUCGGACGUUCUCGAGCCAAAUUUUGUUCAGUGAUUAGGCUCAUUUAUGACUCAAUGAGUUUAUAAAAAAGCAAAAUUCCGACAUUUCAGGGGCUGUCCAUUUAUCCAGAAAAAACACGGUUUGUUGUGUGGCCGGUGGAAUCAUCGGUCCAUAUGUCCUCCAAAAUGAUGACGGAGAAAACGUAACCGUAAAUGGCGAACCUUAUCGCGCUAUGGUAACCGACUGUUUGAUGCCAGAGAUUGAAGCUCGUAAUCUGGAGCAAAACAACAGGAGUGACAUUCGCCAGUUACCAGUCAAGAUGUCCGAAAUAGUAAUCGAGAAUUGGACUCAACGGAUGGACCAUCUGAGACGUAGCAGCGGCAAUAUUUGAAGAUAUUCGUCAAGAAAUUAAUGCCAAAGAAUCCACUUUCCAAUAAUAAUAAACAUUCCUCAUUAAAUUUGAA